GCCUUGGUGGUGUACUGGUCAAGACGCUUGCCUGGUAAGCAGGAGGGCGUGGGUUUAAUCCCGGCCGAGAUA
rfam:Asian citrus Psyllid, Diaphorina citri - Florida Strain, whole genome shotgun sequence.